AUAGUUGGGUGCUGCUGCCGCAGAAGCUGCUUGGGUUUGGAUGUGCCGACUGCUGCAGAAUUUCAUCUACGAAUGUUCAGGUAUUUCAGAGCAUUUCAGACAAUUGCAUGCCCAGAUAGACCAAAAACGCUCUCAUCUUGUGUUUGAACCCCAACAAAAAUUCCUGGCCUACCUCAAUAGUGUGUUUGGAGGCGCAGAGAAUAAUACAAGGCUUUACGGCUUAGUUCUAAACCCGAAAAUGCUACCUUGUAGGCUGUUGGGUGCUGUGACACUCUUAGCAGUAACUCACAAGGGUUCAGAGCCCUCUUCAAAAAAAAAUAAGGGUUCAGAGCCUUGUUUCGAUAUCCAUGAAUCACUAAAUGGUCAUAGAAUACAGAAUGUAAUUGGGAAAAUUGAGUUUUUUUCCUUUAACCCUGAGAUUGUGGUUGCUAGGAAGGAGUUUUUACCAUGAACGAAACAAUGAGACAUUUCUUUGUGCCCAACUAAGAUUGUUAGAUGCCCAUGAAGGGCCUAUAGUUAAGUUUUACCAAAUCUACUUAAGUUGUUUUGCUGCAGAUUUAUUUUGGAGUAGCAGUUAGGAGUGAUUAUCUAGAUCUCACAUGGGUAUCCUAUGUGAUGUGGUGUAUAAUUGAUCUAAGAUAAAGUGAAAUAAUUUGCAAAAGAGUCUAUAAUAAAUUAAUCUUUUGUUGAAACAUUUGAUAAUUCUGAAGCAAGUGUCAUGGUUUGGAGUACCUUUUUUCCCUUUAUUUCCCUUUAGCAUAAACCAUUUUCAUUUCCUGUAUUUUUUGUACCUAAAAAAUGAAAUUGUUUGUGUGAUGAUAGCUUCUCUUUCAGGUGUUUUAGACAAAUUCAUAUAUCUUGCAGGUAUGUUGAUUUUCAUGGCAACAACUUGUCUGAGCAAGCAGCACUGAUCAUGUAGAAGCAUGCUGUGCUUCCUCAAGUUAUUAGCACUGUGGGUGGUACUUGAAAAAGAAGCCUAAAUUUAUCAAAAGUAAAGUUUUCCAUCUCCCUGAGAUCAGUGGCAGGAGCAGGUAGCAUGUAAUGCCUUGGAAAACAUAGUACAUCUGUCCCACAUAAAAUCCUUUACAGUGUUUGGAAAGUGGAAAUCAUUUUUGAUUUCUAAGAAGGUGAGAUUGCUUCAAGUCUUGGAUCUAGAAAACAUAUACGGUCUGAAGAUUCUUCUCCUGGAACAUAUCAUGGUCUGAAGACUAUUUGGUUAAGAAAGUUGGAUAUGUAUGGUAUUAAAGUGCCAUAAGAAGGAUUGGGAGACUGAAGCCCUGCAUACCCGUUACUCUUGGUGUUGUCAUAUUUUCACAAUUGAAGCUCAAGCAGGAGAUCGAGAAGCUUACCCAAUUGUGCAAGCCAGAUGCUAGUUGCAUUAACAGAACUGCAAGGAAAUCGAGUUUGCCAUCUCCAACUGCAGAUAUUUAUACUGAUUAUUACACUCAUUAUCGAUGCGCAUCAAGGAUGGGUUAUAGAUGGCUUUUUGGACGAGAUAUCGCUUCCUGAGGACAUUGAGAUCCUUCAGCUUUAUAGCUCUAGGGUCUAGGCAAGUGACCCAAAUGGUUUGCGAAGCACUCAAGUGACUAUGGAGAACUCUGUCACCGUUCUAUCAGUGUUGACAUUACAAAGUACUGAGCAAGAUGCUGUAGAAAUCCUAAGAAAACUACCAAAUUUGACCUCUAUUUGUCUCUGGAC
rnacentral:lncRNA from 1 species